UACAGAGGUCUCAAGCGUUGUUCGGAUUCAUUGGGCGUAAAGCGCGCGCAGGUGGUUUCUUAAGUCUGAUGUGAAAGCCCACGGCUCAACCGUGGAGGGUCAUUGGAAACUGGGAGACUUGAGUGCAGAAGAGGAAAGUGGAAUUCCAUGUGUAGCGGUGAAAUGCGUAGAGAUAUGGAGGAACACCAGUGGCGAAGGCGACUUUCUGGUCUGUAACUGACACUGAGGCGCGAAAGCGUGGGGAGCAAACAGG
rnacentral:rRNA from 2 species